rnacentral:rRNA from 1 species
UAAGAGGUCCUGCCUGCCCUGUGACUAUAAGUUUAACGGCCGCGGUAUUUUGACCGUGCGAAGGUAGCGCAAUCACUUGUCUUUUAAAUGAAGACCUGUAUGAAUGGCACAACGAGGGCUUAGCUGUCUCCUUUUUUAAGUCAAUGAAAUUGAUCUCCCCGUGCAGAAGCGGGGAUAACUACAUAAGACGAGAAGACCCUAUGGAGCUUAAGAUACUAAGGCAGACCAUGUUAAAAACCCCUCCCCCCGGACUAAACCCUGUGGCCCCUGCCCUGCUGUCUUUGGUUGGGGCGACCGCGGGGAAACACAAAACCCCCACGUGGAAUGGGAGAACUCCUCCUACAGCUCAGAGCUUCCACUCUAACAAACAAAACUUUUGACCAACAAGAUCCGGCAAUGCCGAUUAACGGACCGAGUUACCCUAGGGAUAACAGCGCAAUCCUCUUUUAGAGCCCAUAUCGACAAGAGGGUUUACGACCUCGAUGUUGGAUCAGGACAUCCUAAUGGUGCAGCCGCUAUUAAGGGUUCGUUUGUUCAACG